AUAUUACUCCCUCCGUUUGAAAUCACUUGUCUCGAAAAUGGAUGUAUCUAGAACUAAAAUACGUCUAGAUACAUCCAUUUAUGCGAUAAAUAAUUCCGAACGGAGGGAGUAGGUC
rfam:Triticum aestivum genome assembly, contig: Triticum_aestivum_CS42_TGACv1_scaffold_433530_5DL